rnacentral:rRNA from 2 species
GGAUGCGAUCAUACCAGCACUAAAGCACCGGAUCCCAUCAGAACUCCGAAGUUAAGCGUGCUUGGGCGAGAGUAGUACUAGG